UCUCACACAUUAAUUGUUCUACGUUUGGGCGUACGCCAUCAUGCUCUGACCUCUGAGAUGGCUGGUGCUAAAUUCAUUCUUAACAAGCGAACCCAUUAACUAAAAGCAUCACCUGCUCCACACUUGAGUAUGUUAAUAUCUUGCCUGCAGACAACUUGAUAACCUUUUUUAUUUUGCAGUUGCUAUUUUCUCUUAUCAAUCCGUCAGCCGCCCCAAGCAACAUGUUAGUGUUUCUUGCAAGCCUUUGCUAGACAGGUGAGAUAACAAAAAAGAAAUCCAAGUUUGGAUUGUGGAAAACAUACUCUACAAAAAAGAAAUCUAAGUUUGGAUUGUGGAAAACAUACUCUGCUGUAACCUGUCUAGCAAAGGCUUGCAAGAAGCACUAACAUGUUGCUUGGGGCGGCUGACGGAUUGAUAAGAGAAAAUAGCAACUGCAAAAUAAAAAAGGUUAUCAAGUUGUCUGCAGGCAAGAUAUUAACAUACUCAAGUGUGGAGCAGGUGAUGCUUUUAGUUAAUGGGUUCGCUUGUUAAGAAUGAAUUUAGCACCAGCCAUCUCAGAGGUCAGAGCAUGAUGGCGUACGCCCAAACAUAGAACAAUUGAAGUUGACUUUCUCUGCAUACCUCAUGUCAAUGGCCAGACUAGCGCGUUUUAGGACAUUUUUAUUUUAUGCCUUACAAUUUUGGUUAGCUUCUAAUCCUGGUGUUGGUUCAACUUCAAUUUCCUACUAUCUUUAUGUUGCUUGGUACAACUGGAACUCCCAAUUUCAGUUUUUAAGUUGCACUUUCUUGGCAUUUUAGUAUGCAUUCCACAGGACUUUUGAUCUCACAUCGCUAGUGUAGAAUCUAUUUUGAUUCACCACCUCCCUUUCGCUGCACUGUUCCUGUGCUCUUACAUGUGCCUGGCCGCCUGCUUCAACAUUGAAUCAAAUCAAACUAUGAACAUAGCGUCCUGUUUAAGGACCAUAAUGUUGGCACUUGUGGUACAGUGCUGAACACUUUGGCUGUUUUGUAUUUUACCAGCUAAUGUAUUCAUCUUGAUUGGAAUGUCUAAUAGAUGCUGCAUCUAUUGAGAGCUUUGUGCCACAUAGACUCAUAGUGAAAAAUUGCUUUUUGGCUAGAUGUUCGAUUUUUUUGGGUUCAGUAGAGCAUAUUGUAGGAAUCAAAAUUGGGCAAUCUGUCUGCCAAUUGGAAGUUUUGGGCAAUCAGUUAAGUUUAUUCAGUUCGUUGAUCGGAUGGACAGAGAUGGCCCAAAGGUACAAUGGAAGAAUGCCUGAGAUGUGGUUGACUUGGGAGUUGUCCAGCUUUUUAUUGGAAUGAAUCCUGUGGUUUUGGAUAACAGAGUUGUUCAUAUGCUAGCCAGAACUCAGAAGGUCCUAAUUAAAUCCUGUAGAUGAUGUGACACCUUCUACAUCACAUGUUCAGUUCUUUGAUAUACAAAAGAACCUUCUUUUUUGUUAGUUUUAGUAUAGAUACACGUAGUUUGAAACUUAGAAAGCUGCACACAAUUUUACAAAAAUCUUAAGAAGAAAAAUGCAAGUAUGAAGGCUGACUAGAUUAAUGAGUAGGAGUCGGAGGCCCCUUUUGGUAGGGCUUCCAAACCGGCUUCACCACCGGCUUGUGGUGAAGCCCUACCAAACGGCUCAGCACAGAAUGGCUUCACCAGAGGAGCCGCUUGAAUCCCGCUGAUUGGAGCUGUUCUGUGGAGGGGGAGCCAAAAAAAUUGGCUCCCUGCGGCUCCUCCUGUCGAUUUGCCACCGUUGUCCUCAGGUGGGGCCCACGAGUGAAGCGAGGCAGCACGAGGAUGCUGGGCAGUGAGCGAGGAUGCUGAGCAAUGAGCGAGGAUGCUGGGCAGUGAGCGGAGGCGCCGGUCGGCGGUGGGUAGAGCGACGGUGGCGCGUCGUGGAGGCGGCUAGCGGCGGGCGCUGGAGCGGAGACACCGGCGGGCGCGGGGGUUGGCUGGCAGCAGGGAGUGGAGACGUCGAUCGGUAGUGGGUGUAGGAGCUCGGGCUAGAUGCCGACGACGACCGACGCUAGGGGAGAAGGAUGGUGAGGCCCGAGCAGGGGGGAGCUCGAUGGCAGCGCCAGGGGGAGCUUGAUGUCGAGGUUGGGCGGGGG
rnacentral:lncRNA from 1 species